AAAUACCUUUGUUGGAACAGAGUGACAUCUGAAGUGUAUUUGCUGUUUUUGGCAGCUUUAAAAACAUUUCAUUGCCAACUUGGCUGUAAAGGUUGCCCCACACUCAGUACAUCUAAUGGAGGACUUGGAGCUGGAGUGAGGCUGUCUUCACCAGCAGAGGCCUGCUGGAAAGCGUUACAGCAUGUUGAGACUGAGGAAGGAUUAAGGAGAGAGUCUGAUGCAACA